GGAGAGGUGACAGAGCGGUUGAUUGUGACGGUCUCGAAAACCGUUGAGGCGAAAGCCUCCGGGAGUUCGAAUCUCCCCCUCUCCGCCA
rnacentral:tRNA from 1 species